rnacentral:rRNA from 1 species
GACGAACGCUGGCGGCGUGCUUAACACAUGCAAGUCGAACGGAAAGGCCCUGCUUGCAGGGUACUCGAGUGGCGAACGGGUGAGUAACACGUGGGUGAUCUGCCCUGCACUUCGGGAUAAGCUUGGUAAACUGGGUCUAAUACCGGAUAGGAGCCAUCUUUAGUGUGGUGGUUGGAAAGUUUUUUCGGUGUAGGAUGAGCUCGCGGCCUAUCAGCUUGUUGGUGGGGUAAUGGCCUACCAAGGCGGCGACGGGUAGCCGGCCUGAGAGGGUGUACGGCCACAUUGGGACUGAGAUACAGGCCAGACUCCUACGGGAGGCAGCAGUGGGGAAUAUUGCACAAUGGGCGCAAGCCUGAUGCAGCGACGCCGCGUGGGGGAUGAAGGCCUUCGGGUUGUAAACUCCUAUCGCUAGGGACGAAGCUUUUUUGUGACGGUACCUAGAUAAGAAGCACCGGCUAACUACGUG